GGGGGUGGGCUGAGGGCCAGAGAUGGAGACCUAGAAGCCGAGGAAUUCCUGGAAUGCUCAGUAUCCUUCCAUGUAGCUUCUGAUGUAGCGAGGCAUUCCCCAGGAUUGAUUCUGUGUGGUUCCAUAAGGGUGGUUGGAGGUGUGCUAUGAACAGGGUCUGGGGAAUCAGAUGCCCAGAGGUUCUCUUUCUGCCCCAUGGUCUCCCACAAAGCUUUGGAUUCAGACAGGACUCCCUGGGGGCCCAUUACUAGAGACUCCAGGAGAGGGACUGAGGGAAGGCUGGGAGGUGAAACUGGGUCUGCAGGGACCCAAAUAUUUUCUCUACUUUGCAUGCCCUUCCAUGGUGUCUCAGAUGCUGGUGGGACACAUUCAGGGCUGGUUCCAGAGAGCUCUGGGUUGAGGUCCAAGACUGGAGACUCAAAAGCCCAGAGGUUUCCUGAGUUUUCUCUGCAUUCCCACUGGGGCUUAUAUCUGGAUGGAUCUUCCAGGGAACUCUCUCUCUGGAGUUCUGGCAGGGAGUCUAGGGGAGGGCAAGGGACUGGCAUUGAAGACUCAGAGGCCUGAGGUUUCUCUCUGUAUCCCACGGUUCCCCAGAAGUCCUUAGAUAUAGCAAGUCCUCCUUCAGGGCUAACUUUUCUGGGUUCUGACAGAGAAGCUGGGGAUUGGCAGGGGGGUGGCAUCGGAGGCUCAAAAGCUUGGGGCAUCUUUUUGUGUCCUGUGGUUUCCAAAUGAGUCUCAUAUCCAGGGAGAACUUCCAGGGGGCUAGUUCCAGGGGACUGUGUGGGUGCCUCAGCGCCAGAUAAAACUCCCUUGUGGUCCACAGGGAAGGGCCUCAGAUGGAGGAGUAGUGAUGAGACAGAAGGAGAAGAUGGAGGUGGAAGCAGCUGAGGAUCGGGGGCCAUCCCUUCUAGAUCUUCCAUAGUAUGGGCCCCAUGGGUAGAAAACUGGGCUGAGGAGUGAUACUGGGGAAGCAACAGGUUGGACCUAGGUAGGAAGGCAAGCUUGUUGAAGAAGACAGAAGAACAAACAGACCACUUCAGAGGAGAGGGGCCACCUGAGCUCAGGAAGAUGGCCUCCAAGGACUCGCUGUGCAGAGAGGGGAGACCCCAGAAGAGCUGGCUUUUUCUCUGCUGCUGGCGGUUCCCUGAUGCUAUCUUGUGCCUCACAGGAAAGCUGGUCAGAAUCUGGAAGAUGGGGAAGGAUCUGGAAGGGCUCACGGGCUGCAUGACUGUUUGCUCUGGUAUCCCUAUAGCCUUGAGGAGGCCCUCAGAACCACAGGAUGGCUGGGGUGGGGCUGGAGUGGCUUGCUCUCCAGUGGGAGCUUCUUUGGUAGGAGAACAUGGCUUCAGUGGAUCCAGAGAUGCCUCGUCUUCCCCCUCUUCCUCUUCUUCCCCUUCUUCCUCCACUUCUGAUUUCUGCUUACACAGGUGAUCAAGGAAGGCCACACGGUGCAGAAGUGGUAGUUCCUGGGAAGUAGAUAAAGAUAUUCUCAGGCAUGAAGCCUUUUCAGAUACACAAGGUUUGCUAUGAGGCACUCAGUCUGCUCCAUAUCCAGAGUGGACAGUUACUCACCUAAUCCCACGUGUGUGGCCAGUCACCUACACAGCUCCUCAUCUAGUGUUAAUGGUCAUUACCCAGUCCUCAUUUGGAGAUCAGUAUUCCCUCAUUCUACAUCUAGAAUCCAUGGUCACUCACCUGGCUUCAAAUCUAGUGUCAGUGGUUACUCACCCAGCCUCACAUCUAGGGCUUAUAGUCACUCACCUGGGCCCACAUUCAUACCAAUGACCUCACAUGUGGUGUCAGCAGUCAUUCAUCCAGCUGUACAGUCACAGGUCACCCACCUUGCCUUGCACCAUAUUCCCAGAGCACCAGGGAUGAAGCUGUCGCAACCUCCCAAGCUGCCACCAUCUCUGAAUCUGCCAAACCACGAAUAAGAAUAGUGUCACCAGAUUUCCUGGACUCUGGAAGCAGCUGCUGCCGCAGUGUCUGCAGGCUAGGGCAUGGGUCAGUUGGCCCCAGAGAAGCCCCAUAUCCCCCUUAGCCCCAAGCAGGUCCUCCAGCAGCCAUUCCAUUUCCCUUAGCCUUCUGGCAGUUUACCCUGAGGUCAUCAUUGCAUCACAGAACAAAGAACUCCCAUCCCCCACAGAGGCCUGGGCUUAACAGCCUUCUCCCUGAAUUUAGAACCAAAAAAAAUUUCCUCUAUCAGGCAAUUCAUGCUUCACACAGUGAAAUGUGGGUGAUCCCCUUUUGAUUGCCCAGUUCAGAAUUAUGCUUCAGGCAUUGUGGUUAAGUACAUGGAUUCUAGCACCGAACUGCCUUAUUCAAAUCAUAGCUCUGUCAUUUUCCUACCUGUGAAAACUCAAACUACUUAAUUUUUUCAGUGCCUCAUUUUUCUUAUCUAUAAAAUAAAGAUAUCAUUAUCUUUAUUUUAUAGAUAUUUAUUGUUAUUAUUUUGAGACAGAAUCUCACUGUGUCACCCAGGCUGGAGUGCAGUGGUGUGAUCACGACUCACUGCAGCCUCAACCUCCUGGGCUGAAGUGCUCCUCCUGCCUCAGCCUCCUGAGUAGCUGGGACCACAGGCAUGUGCCACCGUGCCCAGCUAAUUUUUAUAUUUUUUAUUUUUGUAGAGACAGGAUCUCUCUAUAUUGCCCAGGCUGGUCUCGACUCCUGAGCUCUAGGGAUCCUCCCGCCUUGGCCUCCCAAAGUGGUGGGAUUAUAGGCGUGAACCAUCUUGCCUGGCAUAUUAUUCUUAGAGGCAAGGUCUCAUUGUAUUGCCCCGGCUGGUCUUGACCUCCUGAGCUCAAGAGAGCCUUCCAUCUCAGCCUCUGAGUAGCUGGGAUUACAGGCAUGGGCCACUCUACCCAGCACAAUAAUAUUAUUACUUACUACACAGGGUUGUUUUGAGGAUGUAAAAAGUAAAGUAGAGGUUCCUCUUCAAAGACUUUCCUCUCCAUCUUAUUAGGAAUAAAUAGUAACAUCUCUUAGAAGCAAAAUUUAUUCAAAGACCUCUGUUAACAUUCUUAAAUAUCUGCUAGCCGUAAUAAAUCAAUUUACUUUAUGUUCUUAGCUUCCACAAUUUAGCCUAAAUAUUUGCCCUGGCAUGCUUAUAUUGGUCCAAGCAAGCAUUAGGUCAUAGCCUGUUCCUCUUCCUUAUUUGAAGGUGUUUUUACCUUUCUCAGCAUUCCACAAGUUAACUUCCUCCUUCCUUUGUUCUCUGCCUUUGCCUCUUUUUAAAAAGUUCUAAGUUGUUAGCCAAUCAGGACAAAUACAGAAAGCGAGGUCCUGUUCCAGCCAAUGGAAACCGGACACAGCAGUAGGGUGGAUGCGUCAGGCUAUAAAUGACCCUGCCUCCUUUGUUCGGUGUACUCUUCAUGGCAAAACUGCUGGUGAGUGUACCGUUUCUGCAGAAAGUAAAAAUAGCCUUGCUGAGGAAAUUAAAUUUAUGUUCAAGUGCUAUUUCUUCACGGCACUGGGGAACAAGCAUUUCUAACAAGGAUUAAAUGAAUAAAUAUAUAUGCUUAGAAUAAUAUAAUGUAUGCUGUAUUAAAUUUCUAUUUAAGGUUUCUAAUUAUAAGCUUCAUUCUGUCUUUAAUGGUUGGGGUCUAUCCCCUCUUUUUUAUGCUCGUGUCAGCUGUGAACUGUGAAGCAUUCAUGUUAAGGAUGACAAAUAAAUGUGCUUUGCCAUUCUCAUUUCCUCCAUUUCCCCCUAAAACCACCACUUUGUUCCAUGUCGGCCCUUCCUUUCAGGGCCACGCUUCAAUCCCUGUCCUCAUUAAAAGCUGAUUUGUUCUGGUGGAAAGUGUGCUGAGCUGAAAGUGAGGAGACUUGGGUUCUCUAGCUCCAUCACUGAUCCACCACAUGAUCUUGAGAAACCAAAGAGAGGUUUCUCCAUUGGUACCAUGAGUUGGACUAGAUUGAUUGAUUGAUUCAUGUAACAUUUGUUGAAUGCCUGUUAUGGACCAGGUAUUGUGCUCAGUCUUUAAACUGCAGAAGUAAGAUAGAGUCUUUGCACUAAACUAGGUCCCAUUUCAUUGGGGGAUCAGUGAAGUAACAGGUAAUGAAAAUAGAGAUGCGCACAGAGUUUUAUGGGGCCAGAGAACAGAUUCCCACCAGUCUGAAGAAGGAGGUUGAUGGUGAGGGGUGCUUCCCAGAGGAGAUGAUUAAUGCUUUAUUUGAGGAACCAAGAAAGUGAGGAUGUAGUGUAGGGAGUGAGAGAAGGACAAUCCAGGCAGUAGGAACAGCCUGUGUAAAUGUGCUAGGGCAGAGAAACUAUGCCCCAUUAUGGAAAUUGAAGGUAUUUCAGUGUGGCUGUAGUUUUGGAUGGAGGUUGGGGAAGUGGUAGGAGAUGAACCUAGAAAGACAAGAUCACAAAGUCCCUGAACACCAGGCUAAGAAGUUGGAACUCUGUCACUUUUCAAUGUGAAACCAUUGAAAAGUUUUAAACAGGGAAGUGACAAGAUGAAGUUUGUGUCUCGGAAAUAACAUUCUAGUGAGGGUAAAGACACAAAAGGCAAGAGGUUAGGUGAGUCUUGCUUUAGUUAAAUAAAAACUAAAGUGAGGCCUGAACCAUGUCAGUGAUGGUGGGCAUGGGAAAUAUGGAUUCAAGUAGAACUCCAGAGAUAAAAUUGAUUAGACUUGUUUACCAAUAGGAUAGGUUGGGGGAGAGAGGAAAUUGAGGGUGACUCCAAGAUUUCUGACUUGGGAAACUGGAUGUUUGUUGGUGCAAUUUCACUGAGAUAAGAAACAAAGACCUGGGAACCAAGUUAUGGUGGUUGGGGGGCGGUGAUGGGUUCCAUUUUAGAUAUUUGAAUUUGAGGUUCUGGUGUCACCUCAAGGUAAAGCUAGGCAAGGGACAGAUACAUGGAUCUGAAGCUUGGGAGAGCAGUCUAUGGGGGGGAUGUAGAUUUGACCUCUAGCAGCAUAUAUGUAGCAGCUGAAACCAUUGAAGGGCAUAAAGAUGACCUACUUAUGUGUAACAUUUGGCCCAGACAGUGCUUUUUAACUGUGACCAACGGUGGUUUUUUUUGUUUUGUUUUGUUUUUUUUGAGAUGGAGUCUCGCUCUAUUGCCCAGGCUGGAGUGCAGUGGCGCGAUCUUGGCUCACUGCAAGCUCCGCCUCCUGGGUUCAUGCCAUUUUCCUGCCUCAGCCUCCUGAGUAGCUGGGACUACAGGUGCCUGCCACCGCACCUGGCUGAUUUUUUGUAUUUUUAGUAGAGACGGGGUUUCACUGUGUUAGCCAGGAUGGUCUCAAUCUCCUGACCUCGUGAUCUGCCUGCCUCAGCCUCCCAAAGUGCUGUGAUUACAGGUGUGAGCCACCGCGCCCGGCAGCCAACGGUGUUUUUUUUUAAAAAAAAACUUUAAUGAGUAGCCAAUAUUGUAAAUCAGUAGAUCGUACAUAAUAUUUCCAACUUAAAAUCUGGCAACACUGGACUUAUAUUCCCACAAAGUAAAGGCUAUUUGGAGCUAAGUAGCAAUUGCUCCCUUUGGAAUGAACUUGUGCUCUCCAGUUCACUGCAGUUCUCACCCUGUUCUUAGAGUAAAUGCCAAGACUGGGUAUGGUGACUACUCACACCUGUAAUCCCAGCACUUUGGAAGGCCAAGGCAAGAGGAUUGCUUGAGACCAGGAGUUCAAGGCUGCAGUGAGCUAUGAUCAUGCCACUGCACUCCAGUCAGGGCAACAGAGUGAAAUCAUGUCUCUUAAAG
rnacentral:lncRNA from 1 species